rnacentral:rRNA from 1 species
CGGAGGAACAUGUGGUUUAAUUCGAUGAUACGCGAGGAACCUUACCUGGGCUUAAAGUGGGGAGUGACAGCUGUCGAAAGAUGGUUUUCUUCGGACACUCUUCAAGGUGCUGCAUGGUUGUCGUCAGCUCGUGCCGUGAGGUGUCGGGUUAAGUCCCAUAACGAGCGCAACCCUUACCGUUAGUUACCAUCAGGUUAAGCUGGGGACUCUAGCGGGACUGCCACCGUAAGGUGAGAGGAAGGUGGGGAUGACGUCAAAUCAGCACGGCCCUUAUGUCCAGGGCUACACACGUGUUACAAUGGCCGGUACAAAGGGCAGCUACUUCGCGAGAAGAUGCUAAUCUCGAAAGCCGGUCUCAGUUCGGAUCGAAGUCUGCAACCCGACUUCGUGAAGCUGGAUUCGCUAGUAAUCGCGCAUCAGCCAUGGCGCGGUGAAUACGUUCCCGGGCCUU